GCAGUCGAACGAUGAAGGGAGCUUGCUCCUGGAUUAGUGGCGAACGGGUGAGUAACACGUGAGUAACCUGCCCUUAACUCUGGGAUAAGCCUGGGAAACUGGGUCUAAUACCGGAUAUGACUCCUCAUCGCAUGGUGGGGGGUGGAAAGCUUUUUUGUGGUUUUGGAUGGACUCGCGGCCUAUCAGCUUGUUGGUGAGGUAAUGGCUUACCAAGGCGACGACGGGUAGCCGGCCUGAGAGGGUGACCGGCCACACUGGGACUGAGACACGGCCCAGACUCCUACGGGAGGCAGCAGUGGGGAAUAUUGCACAAUGGGCGCAAGCCUGAUGCAGCGACGCCGCGUGAGGGAUGACGGCCUUCGGGUUGUAAACCUCUUUCAGUAGGGAAGAAGCGAAAGUGACGGUACCUGCAGAAGAAGCGCCGGCUAACUACGUGCCAGCAGCCGCGGUAAUACGUAGGGCGCAAGCGUUAUCCGGAAUUAUUGGGCGUAAAGAGCUCGUAGGCGGUUUGUCGCGUCUGCCGUGAAAGUCCGGGGCUCAACUCCGGAUCUGCGGUGGGUACGGGCAGACUAGAGUGAUGUAGGGGAGACUGGAAUUCCUGGUGUAGCGGUGAAAUGCGCAGAUAUCAGGAGGAACACCGAUGGCGAAAGCAGGUCUCUGGGCAUUAACUGACGCU
rnacentral:rRNA from 1 species